ACUUCCAACCAUUGUCAUAUUUUGACAAAUUAUGUACCUAAAUGUUUUUGGUGUAUUUCUUUAUUCACAGGUGUAAUACAAUCAGCAAUUUUUGAGUUCACAGUUUUGACAGAAUGACGCGGCAAAGGGCUUUGUUCUAUAAUAAAUACUGAUAUGAAGAUCUGAGAGAAAUUUAUCCUCAUGAAAUAUAUUACAUUUGUUUAGGUUAUGUAGAAGAUAUUUUUGACUAGGAAUAAAAUAAUUCUCUGCAAAUUAAGAUUUAAAAAAUUAUGGAUACUAAGUAUUGGUUCAAAUCAUUUUAUGUUGUAGGACCAAUGAGAAAAGGUAAGGAACACAUAAGAUUUUGAGAAGAUAAAUAUUCUUUCUCUGAAAGCAUAGAAAAGUUUACUUGUAUGUUUCAGAUUUAAAUGUGAGAAAGAUAUUGGAUAUUUAUUUAUAGGUCUAAUUCUUUCUUUUAUUUUGAUAACUUUCUAAACAGUAGUUUUAAGACAUAAGAAAAUAUUUUUUCACCGGAUUCUAAAAUAACAGGAAUGGGCACAAACAAAAGGAUUUGAAACAAGAAUUUUUUGUCAAGAGAAUUUCAAAAUGAAGAGUAAAACACCAUUGUAAAUUGUAAGUGCCAAAUCUUGUUAGAAUUUCUACUAAAUUCAUUUAGCUUACCCUCUUCCACUUUUUUAUUUGUACCAAAGUUAUGUUGUAUUGGAAACUGUACCUGGAAAGGGUUUUUUAUUAUUUAAAAAGAGUUUACCUAAUUCACAUUUUUUUUUUAGUAAAAAUAAACUUAUAAAUAAUGAGAAAAACAAAUCAUAUAUUUACUUUGUACUACUUCAAUUACUACAAAUUCAACCAAGUCUUUUUACAUACAAUUUAUUUUACUUCAGUUUUGAACACAUACAUCCCACAAAAAGUUCUCUAUCAUUUUCAGUACAUAAGUACAUAAAGCAUGCAACAGAUUUCUUUGAUAUCCUGUAACAAAUAAAUUUGAAAUUUUGGAGAGUAUAUUAAUAGUAAAUUUUGAUGUACCAAAAUAUAAUUCUCAAAACUCUUAACAAUAUAGACUAUUAAAAUAUUUUUUAAAAAUAAACAAUUGUUUAUCUGAAACCAGCAGAUGAUUAAAUAGAAAUGUAUCUAUAGAAUGAGGGCUACUGAAUUUAAGGCUCUGAUGCAGAGUGAGGUCUCCAAGAAUCAAUAUCAUUGUUUGUUCAGGGAACUUUAAUACAUAUUGUCAAGAUUCAAAUGCUUCAUUCAUAUUUGUGAAUGUUUUGAAGGGUCAUAGUUGUCACUUUGAAAAGAUAUCAACGUCUGCUUGAAAUUUUUUUAAUUAAAUGAAAUGUUUUUUUUGUAAUGACUAAUUUUGACAGUUAUACUUCAAUACCUCAUUAGAUGCAUAGAAACAGUAGCCCUUAUUAUAUUGUAAGUGAAACACCAUUAAUUUUUUAAACGAGGCGCCCCUACUGGAUCUGAAACCAGCACAGAUCACUCUAAAUUAUUUUGAAUUGGCAACAGGUCUGUUGUAUCUAUUUUAAAUGGAACAGCUAGGGAAACUUGGAAAUUAAAGAGAACAAAUGCAAGUUCCUUACAAAUAAUUAUAUUAUUAGAUACAGUAGUGGAUACACAAUGAAUGAAUUGAAAUAAAAAUAAUGUUCAUUCCUUUCUAUAUAGUUUGAUGCACAAAAAUUGGAAUAUUUACAUAGAUACAACUUACCCUUUACAAAAUAUUUUUUCGAUAAACACAUCAAUUGAAAUAAUAUAUCUGAUUAAAUUGAUACAUCGUAAUAUAUUUCAAUUGAUAUUAUAUCAAAUAUCCUUAUGCUGGGGCGGAUUUACACGAAUCUGACGUUUAUUCAAAAUUUUUCGUUUUCACUACUCUAAUUCCUAAUAUCUGAUGAAAAUUGCAAAUUAUGGAAGUAAUAUUAUUUUAUUUAAAGAUGAUUAAACUAUAAUAAUUGACAGCCAUUCGGUUCAAAUCCGUCCCUGUUGUUUGUUCUGAUAAUUGAAUAUUCUGUACACAGGUAUUUUUUUAAGAUAAAACUUGAUAAAUAAAUGGAAUUCGAAAGAUAAUCAUAAGUAAAAUAAGGUUGAUUUUUUACCACCAACAAGAAAACUUAUAUUUGUAUUAAAGGGUGUACAAAAGAUCUGGAGGUGCUGGAAAGUUGGCCACUGCUUUAAUUCAAUUCUGAAUUUAAAGUCUGAAACAAUACAUGACAAAAAUAUGGGAUGUUCCAUUUAUGUAUUCUGGUGAAGUUUUAUCUCUCGAAUUCCAAGCUCAUUUAAAUAUUGAGGGUUUGAGAAUUAUAAACUAUGAUGCUUUAUUUUAGUCAGCACGUUUCUGGCACCACAAAGGUUUUCCCAGUAUUUUCCUCUUCACCGAAUACCUCAUGUUGCGGCUUUUCUGGAACAUUGGGUCCUCUCAAUUCCAGUGUAACCAAAUUUUUAUAUCCAUCCAAUGCCAAGACCACAAAUCGACCAUGUGAAGUAAUUUCGCAUGCUGAUAUUUUCAUUUUUGGUGUAUAGACUGCUACCAAAUCACCUACAAUUUCCAGAUUUUUCAAGUAAUGGAUUUAGUUCAAUGACUAUAGUUUGACUCUUACCUUUAUUAAGGUCCCAUAUUCUGAUUGAUCUAUCCCUGCAUUCUAAAUCUCUAGAAAGACAGUAGCCACCUGUCGGAUCUAGUUUCAAUGAUGAUACUGGUGCUGUAUGUCCACUUAAUGACCAACGACAGUUACCUGUAAAUAUAAUGUUAGAUUAGCAGAAUGGAAUUAUUAUAAAAUGAGUUGAUGUAACGAACACCACAUGUCUUAAACCAAAGUGAAAGUGAAAAUAGAAGAUUUCUGGUGUUUUCUUCUCCUCGGCUCCAUGUUACUUACCAGUUAUGAGGUCCCACACAAGUAUUCUUGCGUCCUCAAGACCAGAUAUGACACAGCCACCUUGUGAGCUUAUUUCUAAGGAAACCGUAUUACAGGAUGGCUUCCAUUUCUUGAAUAAUGUACCACUUUGCAAAUCAUAGACAACAAUAAAAUUGGGAUUUGGUUCGGCUAUCUCAUAACAAACACAACAAACGUAGUUACCUACGAAUUAAUCAAUAUGUUUAAAUGUUUGGUACAGGAAAUAAAGUUUUGAAUAUAAGGAAUCGAGAAUAAAUGGAAAGGCUGAGUAUAUUAAAUAACCAGAUGUUAGUUUACAUAUCUUGUUCAGAUUUACCUUCAUAGGUUAUGGCGGAUAACGCUGUUAUGAAAUGAUGAUGAGGAAUUCUAAGAUCGUACAAUAGUUUUCUAGAUUUCAAAUUCCACACUAAUAAUGGAAAAGGUUUUUGUGUUUCGUCUCCACAAACAAGGACUCUAAAAAUAUUAAAAAAAUGGAUUCUUUCUAAUCAUGAGUUGAAAACUGACAAAUUAAAUUCUUUUGUCUUCCAGUUCGACCAUUUUAUAUAAAUGAGACAUAUUGACAUUCUCCAAAAUCUUAUUUUCACUACUGGAGUAAGACAAGAGAAUUUAUGGAAUGUUAAUAGAAUAACAGUUCCAUAAAAUAAAAAAAAAGAAAA